GCCAGUGUGGUGUAGUGGUUUGAACAUUUGAUUGUGACUUUAGAGGCCAGGGGUCAAAUACCUGCUUGGCA